AGUCUUGCAUUCGGUAAAAUAUAUUUUUCUUAACACCAUGAAUUAGGGUGUCAACAAAUGUUUUGUCAGUAACUGGUUUAGCGUUAGACUGAUUAUUUCCCAGGAUUUCUUUAGAUUUUCUUAACAGUGUUUUUCAGAUCUCCAUUCAGUUCAUAAUUUACCGCAAAUCUCCGGUGGAUGUGGGCAUCGGCCAUGAUGAGACAACGCCUCUGAUGGGGAGCUAAAUCAGAAACUGAACUGGUCACAUCCUCAGUUUGAUGGCAGACCUCAUAUAGAUGUCAGAAACCUGCUGGUGAGGGUGAGCGGACUGCAGAAAGGUUUCUCUGAAAUGAUUCCAGAGUUUUUAAGUUGCCAAAAACUUAUGACAAGUCAUGACACUAACCACUGCAUGAAGGCCUGUCUGAUCUUGUUUACAGUAUUUCAUGUAACUUGAAUCUUGAAUCAGUGAUGUGUCUGUGUGUCAAAGAAGAAAUGUUUUGCAAAAUAGUGUGAAUUGUAUUUUGUAAAGUUUUAAUUGAUGUUUACAGCAAGGGUCAUAAUUAAAAAGCAAACUUACACAGGUGUUCUCUACCAUGUUUAAUUUACACAUUUUUAUUUUCUCUCUCUUUAUGUUUUGCACAUCUAUAGUUUGUUUUGUACUUGUAUUAAAUAUUUUCAGUGGGUUGGUGUAAUGUAAAGUUAAUAAAUACUUUUCUAUAUUCCUUUGA